AUAAUGGGUCAGCGACUUAUAUUCUGUAGCAAGGUUAACCGAAUAGGGGAGCCGAAGGGAAACCGAGUCUUAACUGGGCGUUAAGUUGCAGGGUAUAGACCCGAAACCCGGUGAUCUAGCCAUGGGCAGGUUGAAGGUUGGGUAACACUAACUGGAGGACCGAACCGACUAAUGUUGAAAAAUUAGCGGAUGACUUGUGGCUGGGGGUGAAAGGCCAAUCAAACCGGGAGAUAGCUGGUUCUCCCCGAAAGCUAUUUAGGUAGCGCCUCGUGAAUUCAUCUCCGGGGGUAGAGCACUGUUUCGGCAAGGGGGUCAUCCCGACUUACCAACCCGAUGCAAACUGCGAAUACCGGAGAAUGUUAUCACGGGAGACACACGGCGGGUGCUAACGUCCGUCGUGAAGAGGGAAACAACCCAGACCGCCAGCUAAGGUCCCAAAGUCAUGGUUAAGUGGGAAACGAUGUGGGAAGGCCCAGACAGCCAGGAUGUUGGCUUAGAAGCAGCCAUCAUUUAAAGAAAGCGUAAUAGCUCACUGGUCGAGUCGGCCUGCGCGGAAGAUGUAACGGGGCUAAACCAUGCACCGAAGCUGCGGCAGCGACGCUUAUGCGUUGUUGGGUAGGGGAGCGUUCUGUAAGCCUGUGAAGGUGUACUGUGAGGUAUGCUGGAGGUAUCAGAAGUGCGAAUGCUGACAUAAGUAACGAUAAAGCGGGUGAAAAGCCCGCUCGCCGGAAGACCAAGGGUUCCUGUCCAACGUUAAUCGGGGCAGGGUGAGUCGACCCCUAAGGCGAGGCCGAAAGGCGUAGUCGAUGGGAAACAGGUUAAUAUUCCUGUACUUGGUGUUACUGCGAAGGGGGGACGGAGAAGGCUAUGUUGGCCGGGCGACGGUUGUCCCGGUUUAAGCGUGUAGGCUGGUUUUCCAGGCAAAUCCGGAAAAUCAAGGCUGAGGCGUGAUGACGAGGCACUACGGUGCUGAAGCAACAAAUGCCCUGCUUCCAGGAAAAGCCUCUAAGCAUCAGGUAACAUCAAAUCGUACCCCAAACCGACACAGGUGGUCAGG
rnacentral:rRNA from 1 species